rnacentral:rRNA from 1 species
UACGUAGGGGGCAAGCGUUGUCCGGAAUUAUUGGGCGUAAAGAGCGUGUAGGCGGUCCGGUAAGUCGGCUGUGAAAGUCCAGGGCUCAACCCUGGGAUGCCGGUCGGUACUGCCGGACUAGAGUUCGGAAGAGGCGAGUGGAAUUCCCGGUGUAGCGGUGAAAUGCGCAGAUAUCGGGAGGAACACCUAUGGCGAAGGCAGCUCGCUGGGACGUUACUGACGCUGAGACGCGAAAGCGUGGGGAGCAAACAGG